GGAGAGAUGGCCGAGUGGUCGAAGGCGGUUGACUCGAAAUCAGCUGUACCUUAUGGGUACCGUGGGUUCGAAUCCCACUCUCUCCUCCA
rnacentral:tRNA from 1 species